rnacentral:hammerhead_ribozyme from 1 species
AUGCACCUGACGAGUCUCAAAUAGAACGAAACAUGCGUCCUGUAU